UGCAAAGCCUAACUAGGCCUAGCCUACCUA
rnacentral:sRNA from 1 species